rnacentral:rRNA from 1 species
GAUGAACGCUGGCGGCGUGCUUAACACAUGCAAGUCGAACGGUGAAUGAGGAGCUUGCUCCUUUGGAUCAGUGGCGAACGGGUGAGUAACACGUGAGUAACCUGCCCCAGACUCUGGGAUAAGCACUGGAAACGGUGUCUAAUACCGGAUACGAGCUUCAGCCGCAUGGCUAGGAGCUGGAAAGAAUUUCGGUCUGGGAUGGACUCGCGGCCUAUCAGCUAGUUGGUGAGGUAAUGGCUCACCAAGGCGACGACGGGUAGCCGGCCUGAGAGGGUGACCGGCCACACUGGGACUGAGACACGGCCCAGACUCCUACGGGAGGCAGCAGUGGGGAAUAUUGCACAAUGGGCGCAAGCCUGAUGCAGCAACGCCGCGUGAGGGACGACGGCCUUCGGGUUGUAAACCUCUUUUAGUAGGGAAGAAGCGAAAGUGACGGUACCUGCAGAAAAAGCACCGGCUAACUACGUGCCAGCAGCCGCGGUAAUACGUAGGGUGCAAGCGUUAUCCGGAAUUAUUGGGCGUAAAGAGCGCGUAGGUGGUUUGUCGCGUCUGAUGUGAAAACGCGAGGCUCAACCUCGCGCCUGCAGUGGGUACGGACAGACUAGAGUGCGGUAG